GAAUGAAGAUGAUUGUGACUUAUUUUUGAACAACCCUUUGUUCGAUCCGAAUGUUCGCUCGAAGGAGACAAAAUAAUUCCCAUCAUUUAUUAUUGUGAUCAACAAUCGAUUAUUUCUGGUUCUUUUUUGUUGCGGGUACUUAGUGGACUAUUUGCACUAAAUUAUCGCCAUGAAUCCGAUUUAUACCGACAAAUCAUGAUGGCUUAAUUUGAUGCCAUCUGUCAAAAGUCUUGAUGAGGUGCGAAGAUCCUUCAAAGUUAAAAUCGAAUAAUUUGAUACAAUGCCACCACUACCUUCGGAAGAGCGAAGAGGAAACCUGUCCGAAUUCCUGAAGAUGUUAAAUGAUCUCUGGAAUCAGACUCCGUGAUUAAGUCAAGGUCCAUUGUUCACAAUAUCGAACAUUCAUAUCGUGUGUGCAUAUUCAAAUUGGAUCUGAUUUGAAUCAUUAUGAUUAUGGAGUCUGGGGUGGGGUCAACAAUACAUAUUCAAACUGAUGGCUCAUUGGGAUGCUUUUCAGCUUAAAGCCAAAUCAACGUCAAACAGUCAUCAAGUCACCUUUGAAAAUCUCUCAUGGACAAAGGAUGUCUCUUCAGAAAAAAAUCUUGGAUCCAAGCUCAUCUGUUCCGAAUCGAGGGAUCUGGCAAUGAUACGUAACAGGAUCUUGACGUCGCUUCAGGAUGAAAUUCAACACUGUAAUUUUGAAAAUGGAACCCCUGGAAGGAGUCAACGUUUGGAUUUUUUCCAUGGUCAAUUGAGUGUGAUUUACUCUCCUUGGAAAUCUUAAUUUGUCGUGCCCGAAGAUACCAUACACGAUCGCACCUAUCCAGGCUUGUCAAUCGCCCAAAAGCAAUAUUCAAUCAAUUGAUGAUGGUAACAGAGUGUUUUCUUGACAUCCACAGUCAACCUAAAGCAUGGUAUGACAUACUCCAAUGUCAUUGAAUUAAUGCUCCGGUAACUUUUGGCGCCUCAAUUGUGCUCAUGGUUGGCAUUUUUCUCAACGACAUAAAGGGUCGUUCAAUAAGACAGAUUCGGUUUUACGUGUUUUCUCGGUUUGGUCAAAAAAGAAGUGUUGUCGUUGGCGAAUAUCUUAGUUUCUUGAACAUUCGCCGUUGGCCAAAAAACAUUCUCCCAUAGGGAUCCAACAUAAGGAGGAAAUGAGCCUUGGCAGAUAGGGAUAUGAUUUGUAUCAAAUUAUAGACAAUUCCCUCUCAAGGAGCUCCAAUUACAACAAUGGGCUGGGAAUGGCUUGGUAGCUUGGUGCGAACAGGAGCUAUUCAGGAGACACCUUUCGCCAUGGGAGUCAAGUCGGAGGAUGUGCUCAUUGCCAUAAAUAACGAUUUGGUCAGACACAAUCAUCUCGAGACUAGCCAUAAAUCUCCACACGUUUUAAUUCAACCCUUAGUGGUGAGAAUGAACUCGAACAGCCAACGAACAGGAUGAGAAUCUGGAUCGGAUCUCAAUCGCACAUGUACACUUUUUCGACGGGGAAUACUAUGGAAAAGGUCCAAGUCCAAAGGGUUGUCUUCAGUGGCAAGGUUAUGUUUGAUUGAGAAGGCCCCUGUGCACUUACGAAGGAUAAGAAGAAAAAGGAAACCACCAGCAAUUUGGGAACUAAAUCGAUGAUUUAUGUUUUCACAUGGAGUGAGAACUGAUGGACAGUUCUGUGGAGAAGUUGCCGUCAAGAAAAAUUGCAGCCGGUCCUCAGAAGUCUCAAGUUCAAAGUCAACCUGCCCUUUGCCAUGGAUUUUUUCUUGUAUUUUGAGUUAUCGCCUUCGUUAUUAUCACUUCAUCUCCAGGCCUGGUCAUUCAUGAAGACGAAACCACAAACAACUCAAUCUUUGUCAGAUUGGAAGGAUUGCAGAUCUCUUUAACUUUCCUGUGUAUCUAAAGAAUUAGAAGACAGAUGUGCUUGGGGAAGAUUUUGCUCAG